rnacentral:lncRNA from 1 species
UUUCAAAUUCAAAAAACAAAUAUUGAAAUUGUUAAUCAAUACUAGAAGAGAAGUUGCUAAAGUUUCUCUUUUUCUUCAUAAUGAAAAAGCCAUAAUUUUUUAUCUGUGAAAGAAGAAAAGAGACGAUGAAGAACUCGAAGUUAUUGUCACUGGAGAGCAAUUUCGUCACGUGGAUUGGCGGUUGAAAGUCGAAAAGAAACUCAAAACCCAACUAUUUAUCGCUGGAGGUUGAAGUCGUCGGGGAUUAAAGAGAAAAAAUUACUAAACUACUAGUUGGGAGAAGUUGAGAAAAACUGUCGAGAGAGAGGGAAAAGAGGAGAGAGACGGUUAAUUUCGAGAGGAGAGGGGUCUGGGUUGAUUUGUAUUUUUAAAAAGAUUAAAAAAAUUUGAAAAUAUUAAUCAAGUCCACAAUUAACUUAAUUAAGUUUCCUAAUUAUGUUUGACCUUUUAAGUUGGUCAAUGUCAUCAAUUCCACAAUGAAGAGUUAAAAGACAUCUUUCCUUCAAUUUUCUCCUUAAACUCUCUCAUGUUGCUUCGCACUCUUUUUUUCCUUUUUCUCUCUCUUUUUUCUCAAUUUCUUUUUUUCUGAAAAAAAAAAACGGAGACAACCAAUUUUGUUGUUUAUGAAGAAUGACAAAUAAAAUCUUAAUUUUUACACUGCAAAAGGGAUAAAAGCCAUACAAUUUUGCUAAUUUAUCAACAAGAAAUUUUAGGCAAAUAUAUGUCUUUGCUAAUUUUUGAAGAAGGGGAUUUGGGGCAAGUAUAAUUGCAUCUCUA